AAUAAAAUGGCUGAGUUAUAAGCGGUAAAUUGUAAAUUUACAUACGAGAAUUAUUUCUUUUUUAUUA
rnacentral:tRNA from 1 species